rnacentral:rRNA from 1 species
GGACUACCGGGGUAUCUAAUCCCGUUUGCUCCCCUGGCUUUCGCGCCUCAGCGUCAGAAGAGGCCCAGCGCGCCGCUUUCGCCACCGGUGUUCCUUCCGAUAUCUACGCAUUUCACCGCUCCACCGGAAGUUCCGCGCGCCCCUACCUCCCUCGAGGCCGGCAGUAUCCAAGGCCCUUGUGCGGUUGAGCCGCACGCUUUCACCCCGGACUUGCCCGCCCGCCUACGCGCCCUUUAAGCCCAGUGAAUCCGAACAACGUUCGCACGGUUCGUCUUACCGCGGCUGCUGGCAC